rnacentral:misc_RNA from 1 species
CGUGGAGUCAAACAGGUCUUUCAGAUCCAUCAGCAUGUCCAAAGUCGUUUUAUGGUGUCGUUUGUGAUGAAAACUCCGAUUCUGUUUUCUCCAUUUCUCUUGACGGGCUUGGGCUUGUGGGUGACUUGAAGUUCUCAACUCUUAGUGGGUUGAAGCAGCUCAAAAUUCUUAGUCUUUCUGGUAAUUCUUUUACCGGUAGGGUUGUUCCUGCUUUGGGUUCUAUGUUAACUCUUCAGCGUUUGGAUCUGUCUGGGAAUCAGUUUUAUGGACCAAUUCCAGCACGAAUUAAUGAGCUUUGGG